ACCCAAAACAUGCAAGAUUCAGAGAUGGUACCUUCAGCAUGCGAAUCUCACGCAGAGCUAUCUUUUUAAUAACCAGAUCAUCCUCAGACUCAACAAAUUUCUUGAUGGCAACCACUUGCCCACUCUCUUUAUUGCGACAUUUAAACACCACCCCGAACGAGCCUUCUCCAAUUUUUGCCAGCUUCUCAUAUUUCUCCAUUUCUGGACUAGGAAAAGGCACAAGUAAUAUCUUGAUUCGAUAUCAGCCAAACCAAAUGCUAUCAGUAACGGAAAACACUAUCCGAGGGGUGAAUGUGAGACCUGUAACGAAAUAAAGGAAACUUUACACGGUUUCAGGACACAAAG